rnacentral:lncRNA from 1 species
GUUGUAUCUUAACUUAAAUGGGAAACUGAAAGCAAAACAGAUUCCUUUUAUUCUUUUUUGUCCUGAUACUGAAUGUAGUGCUUGUAGAGCAGAUAGGUGGAACAUUUUUUUAAAACUAUAUUUCCUUUUCUAAUAGCAGUGCUACUUCUUUCUAGACCAAAAAUACAAAUGAAAACCCAAACUAAGAAGUAAACACUAACCUGCAUCUCACACUCAAGUACACCUGACCUGUGUACCCAAAGGAAUCUAACAACUAGCUGUGAGAUAUCAUAUCAUCUUUAAGAGACAUAGCUAGUUGGGCUGUCAGAGGAGUGAUUUUUAUUGUGGCAUUUUCUUGGUGUGAGGUGUAGGAUAUUUGGGGAAGGUAUGAUGCUUAUUUGGGAAGAUUUAAGGAUCAUUUCCAUCCUCAUUAAAGUGUACCUCAUCUGGGGUCCCUGAGUUAUAUAUGUGCCUAGAAAGGCCAGGUUCUAGAGAAAAAUCCAUCUCAACAUGGUUAGAAAACAAAGGCUAUUUUUCAGGAUGGGCAGGUCAGGAAAGAAGGAAAAGUUGGACCUUAGAAUGGCUUUGUUUCUAUCUCUCUCCCUUAGCCCACCACUCUCCACCUUUUUUUCCCCUUAGGGUCACCUUGUGAAUUUCACUUGGUUUUAGGGAAAAGUUUAUUUUGGUUCAAUUCUCUGGCCCUGUGAAGACAGACUGUCACAGUGGUGGUUUUAGGAUUGCUGGUAAAUUUGGUCAUGGGAGAGAAUCUUUUUCUUCUUUCCCCAUCAUCUGACGCCUCGUGAAAUAAAAGCAGGACAACAUGUUUGAGUUCAGAUAACAUUCAUAUAUUCUUGCUGCAUUUUAUAAAAAAGGUAGCAUGGAAUCAUGAGGACUGCUGAAAACUAAAAGAUUAUUUUUCCACGUAGCAAUUUCCUUGGGGGGAGAAAGUUGUUCUUCAUGGAUAACUAUUGGAGUUGAGUAGUUAGUUAAUCUGGUGUACUGUCGUGACAUAGAAGAGGAGAGGGGGUAAAGAAAUGUACUUGUUCCUCCACUAAAUCUUCCACCGGAAAAUGACCAGGUGAUGGAAUUUCCCUCAAAAGCUUUACUGAUUCAAAGACCUACUGUUCUGACAUGAUGUAAAAGUGGUAUUAAUGUUGUGUGACUUUACAGAGAACUAGCUAGGGCUGUAGAUAGCUAAUAGGGAUUUUGAAGAAAUGACUUCUCAAAGAGCACUUGAAACAAAAGAUAAUGGAAAACCAGGUGUGCUUUAUGCAAACAAAUCUGAGGAAGCGAAUGAAACUUACCUGGUGGCAAGUGGGGUAGAGUCAAAGAUUCCUCUCCUUGGAUCUGCCCACCGCCUACCAGGCCCUAUCACUCUUACUAAAACAGGACGCUGUCAAAGGUUUCAGAUCUCAAAACGAACUUAAAGAUGAUUAAAAUCUGCUGUAAAAUCCCCCCCUCCCCUAAUUUUUUUUUUCUGUAUCUACUUGCAUAUCUUUUAAGACCAUCUUAGAAACAGUUGAGGGUUUCUUCAGCUCACUUGGCCGUGGCAUUUAGAAUCAAGCUCUUCAGUUGAAUGUUACGCCGUCAGAAACCAGACUAUGAAGUGAACAUCCCAGCCCUUUGGUCCCUUAAGGUGUCUUUCAGGUGGGAAAGGACAGAGCCAAGGAGAGGCCGUGAUUAACGCUUCUUUCCUCCUCUCCCUGUCCCCUUCUGAGUAAAAAAUUGAAGAGACAAAGGGAAGAAGGAUGGACAUCAGAAAUUAAGGUGCCAGUGUCCCGUUUGAAAAGGGCCAUUUGUGUGAGCAAGGAGGGCCUGGCACUGGGCGCCUUUUCUUGGAGGAGGAGGCAGGAGUACAGUGGACCUUACCGACCUAGUUGGAUGUAGGGUAGCCAGCGGAGCUCCGAGCGGGGCAGGUGGCAGGGCCAUGCACCGGCUGUCAGGUGGCCAGUCCUCCCCUUCACCAUCAACGUCGGCUCCACCUGAGUGGGAGACAGGUCAGGGGGCCCCACUGUGCCCUGCUUCUAGGAGAAGGCCCCCCAGCACUGACGGCCUGUAGCCAGUCCCCUUCCCUUCGUCUGUGGUAGUGGCCGAGGACCCGUGGCAGGGCCGUGUCUCCGCCUGGCACAGAAGCUCUCGUAUACCUCAUUUCUAACUCGUGACUGAGUGAGUAACUAGCUUUAAGGUUCUCUGAUCCCCACAGAGGUGCCCAGGACAGCCUCCCUCACCCCGAGUUCUGCAGAGCUCCGGCCUAUAGCGUCAUGUCACCCAAAGCCCAGGCUGGGACCCCCAAGAGCCUGCGAAUGUUACUGCUUCAAAGCUACUGCAAACUGAGGGCAAAUUGCAAUCCGGUACCACUUCCCUUGGUGCCCGGGGUCUCCUCAGCCCUGGGCUGGCCUUUGACAUCCAUCUCCCUUCCUCCCACCCCGCUUAGAGGGCUAACGAGGCAUCGGUGUCUCAGCUGCCACCGCCCCUCCAUCCCGCCGGUCCUGAGUAGAGGAUCCAUGCCUUUUCCCUUUGGGCUGGGGGUCGCUCCCCGCCCCCCCCCCCGGCCCCGGGAGGCCUCAGGGGUCCACAAAAGGACAUCAAAGACUCCUCCCAGCUGACUGCUGCAUAUGCAUUCCACUUUCUUUUCUUUGACAUGACCAAAAAAAAUCCAAAUAUUUAAUUUUAUUAUUAUUAUUAAUAUUAUUAUUAUUAUUAUUAUUAUUUGACAAUCUUCUAUCCAGCGGGCGGUCUAGAAGCUGCAUCCUCGGUCCUUUCACCUUUUCUUUGAAUGUACGCGUGUCGUGUCCCGUCCCCCACAUUGGAGAGAAAAGCUUUGCCAGGUCGUGAUACUGCUGCUAUAUGCCAGGGGAGGGUGGUUUCUUUGUUUUGUUUUGUUCUUUUAAAAAUUUCCAGCCAAAACCAAAGAUUUCUUAAUGAUUGUAUAAACUCAAAACAAACAAACCAAAGAAAAGGGGAGUCUUCAGCGCUGUUCCGACCUGGGAUGUGGUCUGGCACUCGCGGGAGCUGGGCAGGAAGAAGGCCGGGGGGCUCCCGGCCGCCUCAGAGCAAAAGCAGGCAGCAAAAAAUCCUUUCCACAGGCUAAGGUAGCUCAGCAGGUGUCCAGGGCGGAGGGGACCCAGAGCCGGCCAGCCGGCUUUCUGCUCCGGAAGGGAAGGGGCCGCUCCCGGCUUUCAAAACUAGACGAGGCCCGAGAGAAGCUGCCCUCCACCAAAGGGGGUUCAGUCUCCGGGACGGGGGGACGCUACGCAGCACGGGGAAGAGGCCGGGGCGCAGGGGAGGGUUUGGCUGCCCCAUGGGGGGCCGAUUCGGUGCCUCCGAGGGUCCGGUCCAGCCGUGGGGUUCGGGGGAGCGGCCGCCCUCUUUGUGAGAAAUCACAGUGAAAGAUGAUCCGAGCUCGUUUCUUUGGUUUUUUUCUCCCUCUCUCUUUUUUGCAGCCCUACUGUGCAACUAUGCAUUGUAUUUCUCAACCUUUCGUGCUAGGUAGAUGCCUGUGACUUUUUAACUUUGGGGGGUGGGGGGGUUGCAAAUGAAGGAACUUUUUACAUGGAUCUUUUUAAUCUCAGUUGGUUGGGGGUUGGGGGGGUGUUUGGUUCUAGGGUCAUACAAGCUCUAUCCCAAAGCAAAAUCCAAAUGUUAAUAAUAUUAGCCUGAUGCAGAUACCAAAGAUACUUUCUUUCCUGCAGAACCUUAGACUUGUGUAUUGAGUACGAUUACCCAGCACUUGCAUUAGUCUAACCUCAGUAAUUCCAAAGCUUAGAUGUAUAUUUUGGUAUAUUUCUGGGAUAUUAAAAAAAAUUGUCGUUUAAAAUUCUUGUUUGUUUCAGUGUAAUGCUCUUAAAGUCAUAGCAUGGAAAUAACUGAACUGUCCUAUUCUUAGUAGUUUGAAAUUAUAGUAUUUUUGUAUGUUUUGGGUGUGUCUAUGUAUGUAUUAACAUAACAGUUUUCACUGCCUAGGUGUUCAUAAUAAAAAAAAAAGAAAAGUAAAAACUAUAAGUGUACAUAAUAUUCAGUAACGAACUUCCACCAGACCAUUGAUUUGGAUUACAUUUUCACUGAUUGCUCUUCCCAGCUGGGAUUUUUUUUUUUUUUUAAAUUUUUAAAGACGGCGACCUUGCUUUUCUAAAAAUGUUUCCUUUUUUCCUUCUUGUUUAAACAAAGAUUGAUUCAGGGGUGUUUUUCCACUGUUAUAGAUGGAGGGCCUCAAAGAGCCGUAAGUGCUCUCGCUCCCCAGAGGUUUUUUUUGUUUUUAUGUACUUUACUUUUAAAAUGUGAGUUUGUGUUCCUCUUUGUGGAACUUGAGAUGUGGUGUAAAUGAUUCCUUCCCAAAUUGUCCGAUAGCUUUAAUAAGGCAAUGACAAUUCCCGUUUUCAGUUUAUUGGGAGUCCUCUUACAUUUCUCCUUAGGUAAAUUUGCAAUCUAGGGGGCUAUUGUAUAGCCCCUUUUCCCAGACUGCCUCAGUCAGCCACUUUUCCCUCUGACAGAAAUGCUAUUAAGAGAAUCAGCUAAAUACUCAGAGACUUGGGUCUUGUCACCUGUACCUAUAUGAAACACAUCGGUUUUGAAAACCCGGAACACACAAGGCCUGAUGUUUAGGAAAUUAGCUGAUAUCUCCUGAGGCUGGGAGGUGAUGGGGAAUACUGGUGGUGCUUUCUCUUUAAAAGUACCCUUAAUGACCCACCCCCCUCUCACCCUCCUACCCCAGGGGCUGCCUACAGGGGACUGUGGGCUUGGAGAGAUUGUGUAGAUGACAGUGAAUCAGAAUGAAAAGGUAGAUUUUGUGUAGAUGCAUUUGUCUG